rnacentral:rRNA from 3 species
AUGUGCUGUGAGCUCGAUGAGUAGGGCGGGACACGUGGUAUCCUGUCUGAAUAUGGGGGGACCAUCCUCCAAGGCUAAAUACUCCUGACUGACCGAUAGUGAACCAGUACCGUGAGGGAAAGGCGAAAAGAACCCCGGCGAGGGGAGUGAAAAAGAACCUGAAACCGUGUACGUACAAGCAGUGGGAGCACAGGUUUACCUGUGUGACUGCGUACCUUUUGUAUAAUGGGUCAGCGACUUAUAUUCUGUAGCAAGGUUAACCGAAUAGGGGAGCCGGAGGGAAACCGAGUCUUAAUUGGGCGUUAAGUUGCAGGGUAUAGACCCGAAACCCGGUGAUCUAGCCAUGGGCAGGUUGAAGGUUGGGUAACACUAACUGGAGGACCGAACCGACUAAUGUUGAAAAAUUAGCGGAUGACCUGUGGCUGGGGGUGAAAGGCCAAUCAAACCGGGAGAUAGCUGGUUCUCCCCGAAAGCUAUUUAGGUAGCGCCUCGUGAAUUCAUCUCCGGGGGUAGAGCACUGUUUCGGCUAGGGGGCCAUCCCGGCUUACCAACCCGAUGCAAACUGCGAAUACCGGAGAAUGUUAUCACGGGAGACACACGGCGGGUGCUAACGUCCGUCGUGAAGAGGGAAACAACCCAGACCGCCAGCUAAGGUCCCAAAGUCAUGGUUAAGUGGGAAACGAUGUGGGAAGGCCCAGACAGCCAGGAUGUUGGCUUAGAAGCAGCCAUCAUUUAAAGAAAGCGUAAUAGCUCACUGGUCGAGUCGGCCUGCGCGGAAGAUGUAACGGGGCUAAACCAU